rnacentral:miRNA from 1 species
AAUUUAAAAUAUUUUAUGUGAGCCGGGCAUUGGUGGCACACACCUUUAAUCCCAGCACUUGGGAGGCAGAGGCAGGUGGAUCUCUG